UACGUAGGGUGCGAGCGUUAAUCGGAAUUACUGGGCGUAAAGCGUGCGCAGGCGGUUUUGUAAGCCAGAUGUGAAAUCCCCGGGCUUAACCUGGGAAUGGCAUUUGGGACUGCAAGGCUUGAGUGCGGCAGAGGAGACUGGAAUUCCUGGUGUAGCAGUGAAAUGCGUAGAUAUCAGGAGGAACACCGAUGGCGAAGGCAGGUCUCUGGGCUGACACUCGACGCUCAUGCACGAAAGCGUGGGGAGCAAACAGG
rnacentral:rRNA from 1 species